UAUCAUGCUGACUAUUCAGCUGUUGAAGAGGAAGAAUUUCCUCUGCGCUUCAAGGUCCUUCCUGCUGGACGAGAACCAGAUUGAUUCAAGAUAGAAGAUCAGAUUUAGUUUUGUAUGUGCAGGGAAUUGACACGGACAUGAAAGUCUAAAGACAGGCAACAUGAGGCUUCUGUGAGCUAAGGAAAGGGUUAGGGGUCUGAGGAUACAAAGGCGAAGAAAGACCAUUAGUAGGAAGGUGAGAGGAGAUGUUUGGAGAACAAACAUUGUCCUGUUAACGUAGGCAGAGAAGUUUCUUUGGUAAAGAGGAAUCUCUUCCUGGUAAUAAGCAGGCAGUUGAGGAGAAGGUAAGAGGUUUUCCUGAACCUGCUGGAUUUUGUUUGCUUUAACUCAGAAUACUGGUCAUGUCAAAGUGGCCCAUCUUGGGGCGGCCUACCCCCUACAGAGGGAAUAUUAGAAAAUAUAAUGGGAGAAGAUAAAAAUGGUUUUGAUAAAAUUUCAAAUCCAUUACUGAUUGAAAGAAGAAGGAAAAAAACCCUUUUUAUUAACUCCUAUUAAGCUGGGAGUAGAAAGUUAGCUUUUGAUAGAUAAUCUUCAUCAGUUAUCAGUGAUCUUCAUAGUUAACACUGAAGCACAAAUGAUUUUCCAUUACAGUGUGGAAGCAAGGAGGAGUUCUGCUGAGAGACAAGGAAGUAGACAAGGAGAGGAGCACUGGGCAGGAGAUCUGCUUUUCUAAAAGCUCUCGAUUUUAAAAAAAUUAAAUACAGGUGUUAUUUUUAUAAGUUCUAAACUUGGAGCUAAAAAGUUUAAUAAGGCAGCCAAGUAAAAAAUAGGAAAAAAAAAAAAAAAAAAAACAAUUGCUUUACUA